UACGAAGGGGGCUAGCGUUGCUCGGAAUCACUGGGCGUAAAGCGCACGUAGGCGGCUCGUUAAGUCAGGGGUGAAAUCCUGGAGCUCAACUCCAGAACUGCCUUUGAUACUGGCAACCUUGAGUCCGGGAGAGGUGAGUGGAACUGCGAGUGUAGAGGUGAGAUUCGUAGAUAUUCGGAAGAACACCAGUGGCGAAGGCGACUCGCUGGACAAGUAUUGACGCUGAGGUGCGAAAGCGUGGGGAGCAAACAGG
rnacentral:rRNA from 1 species